rnacentral:lncRNA from 1 species
CUUUUAAAUUUUUUUUAACAAUCAUCGUGAAACCCAUGAAUCUCCCAUCAUACUUGACCUAAUCAAAUCGUAUCCUCGAAUCUACCUCCACCAUAAAACCCAUAGAUUUCUAAUAAAACCAUCAUAAUCUUGAAUCGACUCUAUCAUUUUGAAUCUUUUUUCACCUUUUCUUUAUAUCAAAAUCUCUACAUCAGCACCUCUUCCAUAUUCUUGCUCAUAACAAACCAUAAGAAACUCCAAAUCCUCAUCAUCAACCACCAUUAAUCUUUCUUUUGCUUUUCAUUUUUAGCUUCCAAAGCAACCUAUAAAAAGGUAUUCGAAGCUACAUCACCUAGUCAUGCUUUAGGUUUUUAUCAAUUAGAAAUGGGCAUCAUGAAUUGUUAUGAAUUUUUUUGGAUUUUAGUUUGAAUUUUGAUGAAUUUCAUGGGUUUGAGUUUUGAUUUGAUGAAUUUAUAUGGAUAUUAUAUUGAUGAAUUUGUUGUUAAAAUCAUGAAAAAUUUUGAUGAAAGAUUGCUAUUAAAAUAUGUAAUAUUCAUGAAAAACAAACGAAAAAUGUUAAAAUUGUAAAAAAGAUAUUGAUAAAUAUUGAUAGAAAACAUUUUCGGUCAUAGUAUCCAAACAUCGCAAAAUAUCUUUCAUAAAACUCUCUAAAUACUUAAAAACAUUUUAUUUUCCAUAAAAGGUUUUUCAUGGAAAGUAACUUUUUUUAUAAAGUUAUUUUUCGGAUACCAAACAAAGCCUAAGAUUAAAACAUAAUAUUUGUUGAAAACAUGAAAAAAUAUAUUUUUCAAAAUUCAACAAAAAUAAUGUUUCUAAGAUUAAAAAUGCAAUCUUUGUUGAAAAUAUGAAAAAAUAUAGUUUUCAUAAUUCAAUAAAAAUGAUUUUUCUAAGAUAAAAACUUAUCAUUUGUUGAAAAGACGAUGUUUCUAUAAUAAAAUGCAGUUUUUGUUAAAAAUAUAAAAAAUAUAUAGUUUUCAAAAUCAAAUAAAUGCAAUAUUUCUAAGAUUAAAAAGUAAUUUUUGUUAAAAACAUUAAAAUAUAUAUUUUUUGAAUUCAAUAAAGAUGACAUUUCUAAUAUAAAAACGUAAUUUUUAUUAAAAAGAUAAAUUUUCUAAUAUAAAAACUACAGUCUUUAUUAAAAAUAUAAAAAAAUAAAAAUGUAACAUAUUUGUUGAUCU